rnacentral:rRNA from 1 species
GAUGAACGCUGGCGGCGUGCCUAAUACAUGCAAGUAGAACGCUGAAGGAGGAGCUUGCCCUUCUGGAUGAGUUGCGCACGGGUGAGUAACGCGUAGGUAACCUGCCUGUUAGCGGGGGAUAACUCUUGGAAACGAUAGCUAAUACCGCAUGACAACAGUUAUUGCAUGAUAACUGUUUAAAAGGGGCAACUGCUCCACUACCAGAUGGACCUGCGUUGUAUUAGCUAGUUGGUGAGGUAACGGCUCACCAAGGCGACGAUACAUAGCCGACCUGAGAGGGGGAUCGGCCACACUGGGACUGAGACACGGCCCAGACUCCUACGGGAGGCAGCAGUAGGGAAUCCUCGGGAAUGGACGGAAGUCUGACCGAGCAACGCCGCGUGAGUGAAGAAGGGUUUCGGAUCGUAAAGCUCUGUUGUAAGAGAAGAACGAGUGUGAGAGUGGAAAGUUCACACUGUGACGGUACCUAACCAGAAAGGGACGGCUAACUACGUG